CUGAGGGAGAGGAACUUUGAAAAAGCCACCAGAAAGCUUCCUGACAGGAGAAUCUAAGGACUUCAUCAGGGCUCGGAGCACCCGGGCCUGUAGUCACCUGCUUGUGCAGAGCGGCGAGGGGAUGGCUACAGGCUUAAGUCACUUUGGUCUUUGGAUCCCGCUGUAGUCCAGAAAACAACAGGGAUGCUUGGGGCCACCGUCCUGCGUACUAUAGACUUGUAGACGAUGGAUCUCGAAUACUUCCAAAGAUGCUGUGGGCAGUGUCUGAGACAUCCUGAGCUGGGCGGUACCGGGCCACGGAGCUUUUCAAGAGUCUCCGGGAGCAUGCCUGUGACCAGCAUUAUUGUCACUGGGUUGCGGGGGCGGUGGGACAGACACACCUGACACAAGCAACGGACCCACCCGGUUCAGCAAGUGUCUGGCACAAAUGAUUCGAAAUGCUGGAAGUAUCAGCUAAGAUGGCCGACAGCAGCCGUCACCAUUGAGGGAGAAUCAGAAGACAGCAGGGCUGGACCGCUCUAAAGAGGAGAAGGGAUGAAGAGGGCGCCUGAGAAAUGAAGUGGAGAGACUGGCAAGGGCGCAGAGCAGAAGCAAGGGGAACAUCCUCAGUCCUGCAACUGCAUGGUAUGCACGUGCGGUGCGGGAGGCAGAAGCCUCUCCCAAGGGAAAGCAGUUUUAAGGACAAGAUUCCAAUGGAGAAAAAAACAUGGCCAUGAAUCCCCAUACAUCCAUCAGCCACUGCCUUAAUGAAACCGAGAAUCCUUCUCACAAAAUCAGUUCCUGUCAUCAGGUUGCCAAGAAACACCAAGAGGAACCUGAGAGCUCGUAUGUGGCCACAAGGCAGUCUCAGUUUCUCAUGCGUAGGAACUCGGUUUUCAACCAGCCUUAAGACAUACAAUCUGGGAACAGAGGGGUUACGCUGGGGAGGGGUGGCUGGGAGGAAAGGACGGAUGGAAAACUGCUUCCUGGAUGUAAAAAAAAACUUUUUUGUUCAAAAAGA